GGGGCUGACCUGUAGGUAUGUACUUUGGCGGAUCCUGCGGAACCGCAUCCAGCCGCCCUGCCAGUGUGGGGUCAGGGGUUCGAGUCCCCUCAGCUCCA
rnacentral:tRNA from 1 species